AGUGAACGCUGGCGGUAGGCCUAACACAUGCAAGUCGAACGGCAGCACAGUAAGAGCUUGCUCUUACGGGUGGCGAGUGGCGGACGGGUGAGGAAUACAUCGGAAUCUACUUUUUCGUGGGGGAUAACGUAGGGAAACUUACGCUAAUACCGCAUACGACCUACGGGUGAAAGCAGGGGAUCUUCGGACCUUGCGCGAUUGAAUGAGCCGAUGUCGGAUUAGCUAGUUGGCGGGGUAAAGGCCCACCAAGGCGACGAUCCGUAGCUGGUCUGAGAGGAUGAUCAGCCACACUGGAACUGAGACACGGUCCAGACUCCUACAGGAGGCAGCAGUGGGGAAUAUUGGACAAAGGGCGCAAGCCUGAUCCAGCCAUACCGCGUGAGUGAAGAAGGCCUUCGGGUUGUAAAGCCCUUUUGUUGGGAAAGAAAAGCAGCAGGUUAAUACCCCGCUGUUCUGACGGUACCCAAAGAAUAAGCACCGGCUAACUUCGUG
rnacentral:rRNA from 1 species